rnacentral:lncRNA from 1 species
UCCAGGUGGCCCACAAGGACCAGCUGGCCAACAGGGACCAGGUGGCCAAGGUCGUCGAGGUGGCCAACAAGGACCCGGUGGCCAAGGUGGUCCAGGUGGCCCACAAGGACCAGCCGGCCAACAAGGACCCAGGGGCCAAGGUGGUCCAGGAGGCCAACAAGGACCAGGUGGCCCAGGUGGCCCUCAAGGACCAGGUAGCCAAAAAGGACCAGGUGGCCCACAAGGACCAGGUGGCCAAGGGCGUCCAGGCGGCCAGCGUCAUCCAGGUGGCCCCCAAGGCCCAGCUGGCCAACAAGGACCAGGUAGCCAACAAGGACCAGGUGGUCAAGGUCGUCCAGGUGGCCCACAAGGACCAGCUGGCCAACAGGGACCAGGUGGCCAAGGUCGUCGAGGUGGCCAACAAGGACCCGGUGGCCAAGGUGGUCCAGGUGGCCCACAAGGACCAGCCGGCCAACAAGGACCCAGGGGCCAAGGUGGUCCAGGAGGCCAACAAGGACCAGGUGGCCCAGGUGGCCCUCAAGGACCAGGUAGCCAAAAAGGACCAGGUGGCCCACAAGGACCAGGUGGCCAAGGGCGUCCAGGCGGCCAGCGUCAUCCAGGUGGCCCCCAAGGCCCAGCUGGCCAACAAGGACCAGGUAGCCAACAAGGACCAGGUGGUCAAGGUCGUCCAGGUGGCCCACAAGGACCAGCUGGCCAACAGGGACCAGGUAGGCAACAAGGACCAGGUGGACAAGGUCGUCCAGGUGGCCAACAAGGACCCGGUAGCCAAGGAGGACCAGGUGGCCAAGGUCGUCCAGGUGGCCCACAAGGACCAGCUGGCCAACAGGGACCAGGUGGCCAAGGUCGUCCAGGUGGCCCACAAGGACCCAGUAGCCAACAAGGACCCGGUGGCCAAGGUGGUCCUGGUGGUCCACAAGGACCAGCUGGCCAACAAGGAGCCGGGGGCCAAGGUGGUCCAGGAGGCCAACAAGGACCAGCUGGCCNCAACAAGGACCCGGGGGCCAAGGUGGUCCAGGAGGCCAACAAGGACCAGCUGGCCAACAAGAACCAGCUGGCCAACAAGGACCAGGUGGCCCACAAGGACCAGCUGGCCAACAAGGACCCGGGGGCCAAGGUGGUCCAGGUGGCCCACAAGGACCAGCUGGCCAACAAGAACCAGCUGGCCAACAAGGACCAGGUGGCC